rnacentral:rRNA from 1 species
UUAAGCGACUAAGCGUACACGGUGGAUGCCCUGGCAGUCAGAGGCGAUGAAGGACGUGCUAAUCUGCGAUAAGCGUCGGUAAGGUGAUAUGAACCGUUAUAACCGGCGAUUUCCGAAUGGGGAAACCCAGUGUGAUUCGUCACACUAUCAUUAACUGAAUCCAUAGGUUAAUGAGGCGAACCGGGGGAACUGAAACAUCUAAGUACCCCGAGGAAAAGAAAUCAACCGAGAUUCCCCCAGUAGCGGCGAGCGAACGGGGAGGAGCCCAGAGCCUGAAUCAGUGUGUGUGUUAGUGGAAGCGUCUGGAAAGGCGCGCGAUACAGGGUGACAGCCCCGUACACAAAAAUGCACAUACUGUGAGCUCGAUGAGUAGGGCGGGACACGUGGUAUCCUGUCUGAAUAUGGGGGGACCAUCCUCCAAGGCUAAAUACUCCUGACUGACCGAUAGUGAACCAGUACCGUGAGGGAAAGGCGAAAAGAACCCCGGCGAGGGGAGUGAAAAAGAACCUGAAACCGUGUACGUACAAGCAGUGGGAGCCUCUUUUAUGGGGUGACUGCGUACCUUUUGUAUAAUGGGUCAGCGACUUAUAUUCUGUAGCAAGGUUAACCGAAUAGGGGAGCCGAAGGGAAACCGAGUCUUAACCGGGCGUUAAGUUGCAGGGUAUAGACCCGAAACCCGGUGAUCUAGCCAUGGGCAGGUUGAAGGUUGGGUAACACUAACUGGAGGACCGAACCGACUAAUGUUGAAAAAUUAGCGGAUGACUUGUGGCUGGGGGUGAAAGGCCAAUCAAACCGGGAGAUAGCUGGUUCUCCCGAAAGCUAUUUAGGUAGCGCCUCGUGAAUUCAUCGUCCGGGGGUAGAGCACUGUUUCGGCGAAGGGGUCAUCCCGACUUACCAACCCGAUGCAAACUGCGAAUACCGGAGAAUGUUAUCACGGGAGACACACGGCGGGUGCUAACGUCCGUCGUGAAGAGGGAAACAACCCAGACCGCCAGCUAAGGUCCCAAAGUCAUGGUUAAGUGGGAAACGAUGUGGGAAGGCCCAGACAGCCAGGAUGUUGGCUUAGAAGCAGCCAUCAUUUAAGAAAGCGUAAUAGCUCACUGGUCGAGUCGGCCUGCGCGGAAGAUGUAACGGGGCUAAACCAUGCACCGAAGCUGCGGCAGCGACACUGUGUGUUGUUGGGUAGGGGAGCGUUCUGUAAGCCUGUGAAGGUGUCUGUGAGGAUGCUGGAGGUAUCAGAAGUGCGAAUGCUGACAUAAGUAACGAUAAAGCGGGUGAAAAGCCCGCUCGCCGGAAGACCAAGGGUUCCUGUCCAACGUUAAUCGGGGCAGGGUGAGUCGACCCCUAAGGCGAGGCCGAAAGGCGUAGUCGAUGGGAAACAGGUUAAUAUUCCUGUACUUGGUGUUACUGCGAAGGGGGGACGGAGAAGGCUAUGUUGGCCGGGCGACGGUUGUCCCGGUUUAAGCGUGUAGGCUGGUUUUCCAGGCAAAUCCGGAAAAUCAAGGCUGAGGCGUGAUGACGAGGCACUACGGUGCUGAAGCAACAAAUGCCCUGCUUCCAGGAAAAGCCUCUAAGCAUCAGGUAACAUCAAAUCGUACCCCAAACCGACACAGGUGGUCAGGUAGAGAAUACCAAGGCGCUUGAGAGAACUCGGGUGAAGGAACUAGGCAAAAUGGUGCCGUAACUUCGGGAGAAGGCACGCUGAUAUGUAGGUGAAGUCCCUCGCGGAUGGAGCUGAAAUCAGUCGAAGAUACCAGCUGGCUGCAACUGUUUAUUAAAAACACAGCACUGUGCAAACACGAAAGUGGACGUAUACGGUGUGACGCCUGCCCGGUGCCGGAAGGUUAAUUGAUGGGGUCAGCGCAAGCGAAGCUCUUGAUCGAAGCCCCGGUAAACGGCGGCCGUAACUAUAACGGUCCUAAGGUAGCGAAAUUCCUUGUCGGGUAAGUUCCGACCUGCACGAAUGGCGUAAUGAUGGCCAGGCUGUCUCCACCCGAGACUCAGUGAAAUUGAACUCGCUGUGAAGAUGCAGUGUACCCGCGGCAAGACGGAAAGACCCCGUGAACCUUUACUAUAGCUUGACACUGAACAUUGAGCCUUGAUGUGUAGGAUAGGUGGGAGGCUUUGAAGUGUGGACGCCAGUCUGCAUGGAGCCGACCUUGAAAUACCACCCUUUAAUGUUUGAUGUUCUAACGUGGACCCGUGAUCCGGGUUGCGGACAGUGUCUGGUGGGUAGUUUGACUGGGGCGGUCUCCUCCUAAAGAGUAACGGAGGAGCACGAAGGUUGGCUAAUCCUGGUCGGACAUCAGGAGGUUAGUGCAAUGGCAUAAGCCAGCUUGACUGCGAGCGUGACGGCGCGAGCAGGUGCGAAAGCAGGUCAUAGUGAUCCGGUGGUUCUGAAUGGAAGGGCCAUCGCUCAACGGAUAAAAGGUACUCCGGGGAUAACAGGCUGAUACCGCCCAAGAGUUCAUAUCGACGGCGGUGUUUGGCACCUCGAUGUCGGCUCAUCACAUCCUGGGGCUGAAGUAGGUCCCAAGGGUAUGGCUGUUCGCCAUUUAAAGUGGUACGCGAGCUGGGUUUAGAACGUCGUGAGACAGUUCGGUCCCUAUCUGCCGUGGGCGCUGGAGAACUGAGGGGGGCUGCUCCUAGUACGAGAGGACCGGAGUGGACGCAUCACUGGUGUUCGGGUUGUCAUGCCAAUGGCACUGCCCGGUAGCUAAAUGCGGAAGAGAUAAGUGCUGAAAGCAUCUAAGCACGAAACUUGCCCCGAGAUGAGUUCUCCCUGACCCUUUAAGGGUCCUGAAGGAACGUUGAAGACGACGACGUUGAUAGGCCGGGUGUGUAAGCGCAGCGAUGCGUUGAGCUAACCGGUACUAAUGAACCGUGAGGCUUAACCUU